GACGAACGCUGGCGGCGUGCCUAAUACAUGCAAGUAGAACGCUGAAGGAGGAGCUUGCUUCUCUGGAUGAGUUGCGAACGGGUGAGUAACGCGUAGGUAACCUGCCUGGUAGCGGGGGAUAACUAUUGGAAACGAUAGCUAAUACCGCAUAAGAGUAGAUGUUGCAUGACAUUUGCUUAAAAGGUGCAAUUGCAUCACUACCAGAUGGACCUGCGUUGUAUUAGCUAGUUGGUGGGGUAACGGCUCACCAAGGCGACGAUACAUAGCCGACCUGAGAGGGUGAUCGGCCACACUGGGACUGAGACACGGCCCAGACUCCUACGGGAGGCAGCAGUAGGGAAUCUUCGGCAAUGGACGGAAGUCUGACCGAGCAACGCCGCGUGAGUGAAGAAGGUUUUCGGAUCGUAAAGCUCUGUUGUAAGAGAAGAACGAGUGUGAGAGUGGAAAGGUCACACUGUGACGGUAUCUUACCAGAAAGGGACGGCUAACUACGUGCCAGCAGCCGCGGUAAUACGUACGUGGCGAGCGUUAUCCGGAUAUAUUGGGCGUGAAAAGAGUGCAGGCGGUUUUCUGAGUCUGACGUGAAAACCUUCCGCUACCGAAGAAUGCUUCGAAACUUAAUAACUUUUAGAGCCAGUAGGGGGGGGGACUCCGUGUGUUGCGGUGUAAUAGAUAGAAGAUGAAAAAGACCCCUGGCAGUGUCUGCGGGUGGGGGAGGGCG
rnacentral:rRNA from 1 species